rnacentral:tRNA from 1 species
GGAGAGAUGGCUCAGUGGUUAAGAGCACUGGAUGUUCUUCCAGAGGUCCUGAGUUCAAUUCCCUGCAACUACA